rnacentral:rRNA from 1 species
AUGUACUCGUUGUAUCGGAACCCCCUGUACCGCGGCGGCUCGCCGGCGUCGCCCGCGAACUCCGGCAGCGGCUCGACCCACUUGUCGCCGUGGAGGUUGAGGAAGAAGGCGAUGGAGUGGCGGUGCGCCCCCGGCCUCCUCACCACCCUGUGCGUGGCGCUCUUGAACUUCUUGUUGCUGAGCACCUGCAAAACAUCGCCCACGUUGACGACGAUGCUGCCCUCCACGGGCUCUGCGGGGACCCAGCUGCCGUCUUCCCCGAGCACCUCCAGGCCCCCGACGCCGUCCUGCAGGACGAAGGUGAUGCAGUUGCCGUCCUCGUGCGCGCUGAUGCCGUUGUUCUCGUCGGUUGUCGCCGGGAAGUAG